CACACACUCCGGUCGCGCUGUGCGCCGCCACCCCUGCGAGCCUCCUGCGUCAAUCGAGCCUGAAUGUGUUAUGCCGUGGCAGCCGUCCCUACUUAAGACGCCGUGCAUCUCCUGUCAUUCCAUUGUUCUCGUCGACCAGGGAGGUGCCAAGCGGUCGAGGCAAAACUCUUUUGAUUGUUGUCUUGUCAGCGAGCGACUGUAACCAUGCGGCUUGACCUUGAGGCGACACCGUUCAACAGUCAAUGUGCACCUGCCCGAAGACUGAGCUCGCAAGUUACCUGUCGUCGCGCGCCUUGAUUUCACCAACUCGAAUGCUCUGAAAAUACUGAGGAACAAAAAAGCAUUAAAUCCAGACGAGAGGCCCUGACCAGUCCAUGUGGUGGGAAACUAGAAGGCAGCAUGAUUCCUACCCAGGAAGACAAUGACAAUGUCCAUCAGGAAGUUACUCCUCUCGAGGUUUGCAGAAUGUCAGUAUUGGACCAACCCUGUUGAUGAAUUGACCCAAGAUGGAUCUUUAAAAGAAGCUCCCAGAAACAGUGAAGGCAGCUAGCAUCUGCUUGGAGCCAACCAAGGAAAACCACCCUUUGAACGCUGCUCUGUAUACAUCAAGUGGGAUUAAGCCCACAAAGAGAAGGAACUUAAAGACAAAGUUUUAUUUAAAUGAGAAGCGACUUUGAAUCGCUCUUCAAGAUGUAUUGUUUUAUUCAAAAUGUUUUGCUGGCUGUUGUUGCCAUACAGAUAUGAAUAAAAUUACUUCAUUUUUAAAUUGGAA